rnacentral:rRNA from 1 species
UGGGGAAUAUUGGACAAUGGGCGAAAGCCUGAUCCAGCCAUGCCGCGUGUGUGAAGAAGGUCUUCGGAUUGUAAAGCACUUUACGUUGGGAGGAAGGGCAUUAACCUAAUACGUUAGUGUUUUGACGUUACCGACAGAAUAAGCACCGGCUAACUCUGUGCCAGCAGCCGCGGUAAUACAGCGGGUGCAAGCGUUAAUCGGAAUUACUGGGCGUAAAGCGCGCGUAGGUGGUUUGUUAAGUUGGAUGUGAAAUCCCCGGGCUCAACCUGGGAACUGCAUUCAAAACUGACUGACUAGAGUAUGGUAGAGGGUGGUGGAAUUUCCUGUGUAGCGGUGAAAUGCGUAGAUAUAGGAAGGAACACCAGUGGCGAAGGCGACCACCUGGACUAAUACUGACACUGAGGUGCGAAAGCGUGGGGAGCAAACA